rnacentral:rRNA from 1 species
AUUGAACGCUGGCGGCAGGCCUAACACAUGCAAGUCGAGCGGAGCGGCGGACGGGUGAGUAAUACUUAGGACUCUGCCUGUUCGUGGGGGAUAACGUUCGGUAAUGGAAGCUAAUACUGCAUACUAUCAGAUGAGCCUAGGUCGGAUUAGCUAGUUGGUGAGGUAAUGGCUCACCAAGGCCACGAUCCGUAACUGGUCUGUGAGGAUGAUCAGUCACACUGGAACUGAGACACGGUCCAGACUCCUACGGGAGGCAGCAGUGGGGAAUAUUGGACAAUGGGCGAAAGCCUGAUCCAGCCAUGCCGCGUGUGUGAAGAAGGUCUUCGGAUUGUAAAGCACUUUUGGUUGGGAGGCGUUACCGACAGAGUAAGCACCGGCUAACUCUGUGCCAGCAGCCGCGGUAAUUC